GUUCCGGUGGUCUAGUGGUUAGAGCGUCUGCUUCGGAUGCAGAAAGGUCGCGGGUUCUAUCCCCGGCCAUAACA